CAUCAACGUAAGUGAUUUCCAUGUAACCCCUAUGUCCAUAUAGUACAUAUGGUCUUCUUAAUGAAAAAACCAAAUAAUGAGAAUUUUCAGUCUUCAGUAGAGUCCCUUCUAACAAAAGUUGGAUUCAGACGGACCUUUUAAUUUUGUAACGAUUUUAACCUUUAUCUUCUCGGCUUAUUUCUGCUUUCUAGUUACAUCUAAUUAUCAUGUGUUAUUUUUCUAGUUACAUCUAAUUAUCAUGUGUUAUUUUUCUAGUUACAUCUAAUUAUCAUGUGUUAUUUUUUCACUGUCUUAUGUCUGUAACAUGCAGGGCUUCUUUGCCAUGCCAGGUAGUGUAUAGACAAUCGUGUGCCUCUUACCAGUUCGAUGCAUACGCAGACAGACUCACAUAAGAAGUCAUCACAUACAUCACAUACAUACAUACACACUCAGUGCAUUGUUAGAUAAUUCAUCGUGCGCGCACACACACACACACACGCGCGCGCACGCGCGCGCACAGAGACAGGGCUGGGGAGACACAUACACAGUGCAUUGUUACGUAAUUUACUUUGGGCACAUAGACUGUGCCUACACAAAGUAAGAUUUCUGACAGUGGACACAGAAAAUAAAAGUUUAUUACUGUGUAUAUUAACCCAUAAUAUAUCCUCUGUUCUCACCACAUGGCUACUAAGAGUUUACUAUUAUGUUCAUUUUAAAAGUCCAGGAUUGAAUUUCUCUUUGUGUUAUCUUCACAGAUUUAUUUAUAUAUAUUGGUGUCUUUAAAAAAAAAAAU
rnacentral:lncRNA from 1 species